UACGUAGGGUGCAAGCGUUGUCCGGAAUUAUUGGGCGUAAAGAGCUCGUAGGCGGUUUGUUGCGUCGGCUGUGAAAUCCCGAGGCUCAACCUCGGGUCUGCAGUCGAUACGAGCAAACUAGAGUGUUGCAGGGGAGACUGGAAUUCCUGGUGUAGCGGUGAAAUGCGCAGAUAUCAGGAGGAACACCGGUGGCGAAGGCGGGUCUCUGGGCAACAACUGACGCUGAGGAGCGAAAGCGUGGGGAGCGAACAGGAUUAG
rnacentral:rRNA from 1 species